UGGGCAACCUGCCCUCAGCUCUGGGAUAACUCCAAGAAAUUGGGGCUAAUACCGGAUAUGACUGCUGACCGCAUGGUCUGGUGGUGGAAAGAUUUUAUCGGCUGGGGGAUGGGCCCGCGGCCUAUCAGCUUGUUGGUGGGGUAGUGGCCUACCAAGGCGACGACGGGUAGCCGGCCUGAGAGGGUGACCGGCCACACUGGGACUGAGACACGGCCCAGACUCCGUACGGGA
rnacentral:rRNA from 1 species